GGSUUAUUGAUUAUAAUUUUAGGUYUGACCUGCCCAAUGAUGAAUAUUAAAUGGCCGCGGUAUACUGACCGUGCAAAGGUAGCAUAAUCACUAGUUUUUUAAUUGAAAGCUUGUAUGAAAGGUUUGAUGAGAAAAUAGCUGUCUCUAUUUAAAUUUUUUAGAAUUUUAUUUUUAAGUUAAAAAGCUUAAAUGUUUAUAGAAGACGAGAAGACCCUAUAGAGUUUUAUAAUUUUAGGUAUAGCUAGUAUUUAGUAUUGUAAGAUUUAUAUUUAAAAUUAUUUGGUUGGGGUGAUUGAAAAAUUUAAUAAACUUUUUUUUUAUUUUAACACUGAUUUGUGAGUUUUUGAUCCUUUUUUAAAGAUUAAAAGAUUAAAUUACCUUAGGGAUAACAGCGUAAUUUUUUUUUARAGUUCUAAUCGAAAAAAAARAUUGSRACCUCGAUGUUGGAUUAAAAAAAAUUAUUGGKGUAGGGGCUAAUAAAUUAGGUCUGUUCRACCUUUAAAAUUUUACAUGAUCUGAGUUUAAACCGGCGKGAGCCAGGUCGGU
rnacentral:rRNA from 1 species